rnacentral:rRNA from 1 species
GAGUUUGAUCCUGGCUCAGAGCGAACGCUGGCGGCAGGCUUAACACAUGCAAGUCGAGCGGGCGUAGCAAUACGUCAGCGGCAGACGGGUGAGUAACGCGUGGGAACGUACCUUUUGGUUCGGAACAACACAGGGAAACUUGUGCUAAUACCGGAUAAGCCCUUACGGGGAAAGAUUAUCGCCGAAAGAUCGGCCCGCGUCUGAUUAGCUAGUUGGUGAGGUAACGGCUCACCAAGGCGACGAUCAGUAGCUGGUCUGAGAGGAUGAUCAGCCACAUUGGGACUGAGACACGGCCCAAACUCCUACGGGAGGCAGCAGUGGGGAAUUUUGGACAAUGGACGAAAGUCUGAUCCAGCGACGCCGCGUGCACGAAGAAGGUCUUCGGAUCGUAAAGUGCUUUUGGCAGGGAAAAAUUUUGAUUGUACCUGCAGAAUAAGAGGUUGCUAACUCUGUGCCAGCAGCAGCGGUAAUACAGAGACCUCAAGCGUUAUCCGGAAUCAUUGGGCGUAAAGCGUACCGAUAGGUGGUUUUGUUGGUCUUGGGUGAAAUCCUGAAGCUCAACUUCAGGUUUGCUCAAGAUACCGCAAGACUAGAGGGGCAAAGAGGUAACUGGAACGAACGGUGUAGUAGUGAAAUGCGUUGAUAUCGUUCGGAACACCGAAAGCGAAGGCAGGUUACUGGGUGCCACCUGACACUGCUAGGACGAAAGCGUGGGGAGCGAAUGGGAUUAGAUACCCCAGUAGUCCACGCUGUAAACGAUGAAUACUAGGCAUGCGCGAGUAUCGACCCUCGUGCGAGCCGUAGCUAACGCGUUAAGUAUUCCGCCUGGGGAGUACGGCCGCAAGGCUAAAACUCAAAGGAAUUGACGGGAACCCGCACAAGCGGUGGAGCAUGUGGUUUAAUUCGACGGUAAGCGAGGAACCUUACCAAGGUUUGACAUGUCACUUCAAGCGCACGGAAACGUGUGAUCUUCGAGAGUGUGAUACAGGUGCUGCACGGUUGUCGUCAGCUCGUGUCGUGAGAUGUUCCCUUAAGUGGGAGAACGAGCGCAACCCCCAUGAUAUGUUGAUUUUCAUAUCAGACUGCCAGCGUUUAAGUUGGAGGAAGGCGGGGAUGACGUCAAGUCCUCAUGGCCCUUAUGGGUAGGGCUUCACACGUCAUACAAUGGCCGGUACAGAGGGUUGCCAAGGCGCGAGCUGGAGCCAAUCCCCAUAAAAGCCGGUCGUAGUCCGGAUUGCAGUCUGCAACUCGACUGCAUGAAGUCGGAAUCGCUAGUAAUCGCGGAUCAGCAUGUCGCGGUGAAUACGUUCCCGGGUCUUGCACACAC